AUCAUUUACUGAAGUUUACGCUCUACAACCCUUUGUGAACAUACCUAUAACUGUUGCUUCGGCGGGUAGGGUCUCCGCGACCCUCCCGGCCUCCCGCCCCCGGGCGGGUCGGCGCCCGCCGGAGGAUAACCAAACUCUGAUUUAACGACGUUUCUUCUGAGUGGUACAAGCAAAUAAUCAAAACUUUUAACAACGGAUCUCUUGGUUCUGGCAUCGAUGAAGAACGCAGCGAAAUGCGAUAAGUAAUGUGAAUUGCAGAAUUCAGUGAAUCAUCGAAUCUUUGAACGCACAUUGCGCCCGCCAGCAUUCUGGCGGGCAUGCCUGUUCGAGCGUCAUUUCAACCCUCAAGCUCUGCUUGGUGUUGGGGCCCUACAGCUGAUGUAGGCCCUCAAAGGUAGUGGCGGACCCUCCCGGAGCCUCCUUUGCGUAGUAACUUUACGUCUCGCACUGGGAUCCGGAGGGACUCUUGCCGUAAAACCCCC
rnacentral:rRNA from 1 species